rnacentral:lncRNA from 1 species
AAAACGAAUCUAAAAUCACAAAGUUAGGGUUCUGAAUCGAGUAGAACGGAUGGUCUAAUCGACACACGCGUCUACAACGAAGUAGCAAUGGCUAAACUUUCAACAAAAUAAAACCCAAUCUGUUUGUGGCAGCUCUAAUCCUUAUUAAUACCUAGGAGGAUGAUCAGGGGGGUCUAGUGUCGUGCUCUAACCCUAGGACACAUCCUUAUUGGACCCGACUUGAUACAAGGCCCAUCGAGUCAAAAUAAGGCGACGCAACACAUUU